CCGUUGCCGGCGACCGGCGCACGGGUGAGUAACACGUAUGCAACCUGCCCGUGGCAGGGGGAUAAGCGGGGGAAACCCCGUCUAAUACCGCGUAACGCGGCCUUGGGGCAUCCCAAGGCCGCCAAGGGAGCAAUCCCGGCCACGGAUGGGCAUGCGGCGCAUUAGCUAGUCGGCGGGGUAACGGCCCACCGAGGCGACGAUGCGUAGGGGUUCUGAGAGGAAGGCCCCCCACACUGGUACUGAGACACGGACCAGACUCCUACGGAAGGCAGCAG
rnacentral:rRNA from 1 species